CGCCUCGGGAUGCGGGGCAGGCGUAACUGCGCGAGCUUGUGUGGCAGGAGGGCAGCGCCGGUGUCGCGCGGCGCUAGCAGGUCUAGACAAGCCCAAGGUGGCGAUACAGCAGAUUGAACACCAUGACAUGCUGAAACCUGGCUGGUUUUAUGAGGGAAACCAACUCAAAGCUGAUCCCACCCCCAAGAUGAGAAAAGACAUGAAGCUAUGACAUGCACAGGGUCAUUUUGGGGGUUCAAUUCUGAAGUUCCUGCUCAGGCUGCACUCCCAAUGAACUCCAUUGGGUUUUGCCUGCAGAAGCAGGCAGCGUGUUCUGAAGAAAGAUCAGGAGACUGAGCAUCAGGACAUUCUGAGUUCAAAUGAGAUGUUUUUGUGAAAGAUCUGUUCUAGGAAUUAUUUUGAAGAAAUUCCAUGGCCUGUGUGAUACAGGAGGUCCAGAUGAGACGAUCACAAUGGUUUGUUCUGGCCUAGGAAUCUAUUAAUCUACAUCCUAGUUUACCCAUUAAUUUGUUCUGCACCCUGGGAUGAAUUCCUUCAUCUUUCUGCCUCAGUUUCUCCAUCUGUAAAACGAAGAUAAUAUUUGCGAUGGGCUGGCAUAGGAACCCCCUUGGGAACUGCCAAGUGAUGUGCCAAGACUACUUCUGCCCCUGCUUUCCCUGCCAGCUCGGGACCCCAGCAUCCUGUCUUGCUGAGCCAGACACUCCCGUCUGCUCCAGCACAGACCCAACGUCUGAAUUACUUGCCCCAAAGCUGCAGGUUUACCUGAAAGCAGUUUACAGAAGUGUGCUUGUUUUAACACUCAGAUGCCCAACUCCCAACAGAGUCUAAACCCAAAUAAAUCUAUUUUACCCUGUAUAAAGCUUAUACAGGAUAAACUCAUAAAUUGUUUGCCCUCUAUAACACUGAUAGAGAGAAAUGCACAGCUGUUUGCCCCCCCCCCAGGUAUUAACACAUACUCUGAGUUAAUUCAUAAGUAAAAAGUGGUUUUAUUAAAUACAGAAAGUAGGAUUUAAGUGGUUCCAAGUAGUAACAGACAGAAUAAAGUGUAUUACCAAGUAAAAUAAAAUAGAACACGCAAGUCCAUGUCUAAGAAACUGAAUACAAAUAAAAUCUCACCCUGAAA